CAGAAAUCUUGUAAUGAGCCCCAGUCCACACACCCUGCCUCUUGGGUCCACUGCAGGGUUGCAGCUCCAGACCUGGUUGGGUUGCUGGCAUCUGAGACAUGUCACUUCAUCCUGCCAUGGUGCUGGCCCUCGUGCUGUGCCUGGAACAGACAACUAAGACUCAGAAAGGUGAGUCAUGUCUUUGGUUGCUUCUGCACCUGUGAGAAGCUUUGAAGAGGAUCAUGUGCACUUGGGAGGCCUGGAUGAAGACCACUGAAUAUAUUCUCUAAUCAUGAACAUCCCCAGAGAGGCAACCUUCAAUCCUCUUCCUUUUCUACCUACAGUCCUUUGAUUUCUUAUUUAAAAUGUUUUCGUUUGACAAAUAAAAAGGUUUAUAUUUA